GAUCAUUCUUUGAUUCCUUUAAUUACGUUGGUCAUAGUAGAUUUAAAAUGCAUGAUAUGAUACAUGAUCUAGCAAAAUUAAUUGCAGGAAAUGAGUGCUACACAAUUGUGGACAACUGGCUACCCUGUUUCCCCGAUGGGGUUCGCCAUCUAUACAUACAAGGUGAAGAAGAAUUAGUGAAAUCACUGUGCUCACAAAAUCUUAGGGCCCUACGGACCUUGUUAGUCUCGGCUCGGUUUGGGUCUAUCUAUAGGAUGAUAAAAGAAGUAACCCAAUUUUCACUGCUUCUACUGAGGACAGAAUGCUUACGGACUCUAACAUUUGUUUGGAAAAGUGAAGAUGAGUUGCCCGAUUCAAUCAGUAACCUGAAACACCUACGUUGCUUACAUAUCACAUCCAAAUUUAUUAAGAAGCUCCCUGGAUCAGUAUGCCUCCUUUACCACCUACAGACAUUGAUCCUUGAAUGUGAUGCUCUUGCAGAGUUACCCAGUGGCACAGGUAACCUUAUUAACCUACGAUACUUUAGACUACAGACACAUUGUAUUAAAAGGCUCCCUGAAUCAGUUUGUCAGCUACGCAGCCUGCAGACUUUGGAUCUUCAUUGGUGCAACAAACUUAAAGGGAUAAUGAGUGGCAUAGGAAUCCUUACUAAUGCUCAAAUUCUCUGUCUGCCAGCUGGAAUCAAAAAACUAACAAAUCUUCAGAGAUUGUGUGGACGUUAUGAAGUGCAGGGUGGGAUAGGAGUGUUAAAGGACCUGGUGAACCUCCAAGGAGAUCUCUGCAUCUCAGGUCUCAGGAACUUGGUCAGCAUAGAGGAUGCAAAGGAUGUUGGUCUUAAAUAUAAGCAUAAACUUAAGCGGUUGUAUCUAUUUUGGGAUGCCAACUGCGAACAUGAUUGGUAUUAUGAUGGACUAGAUCUAAAAGCUUUUCUUGAGGAAAAUAAGGAUGUCCCAGCCUAUGAAAAAAGGGAGGAGGCCGUGCUUGAGUAUCUUCAACCUCCCGCCAACCUCAAAAAGUUGCUUAUAAAUGGGUAUGGUGGCUCCAUUUUUCCAGAAUGGGUGGGAAAUCCUUUAUCCUUUGCAUCACUUCAAGAAAUCCAUAUAAUUGGAUGUCAAAGCGUAUGGUCCCUUCCUCUAUUCAUUCACGACUCUCUUGGAAAAUUGGAUGCAUCCAUAUCAAAAUCUAUGAUUGAGAGGGUGUCUAUUUCUUGUUGCCAGCAGCUCAAAUACAUAGCAGGCCUUCAUAAUCUCUACUCACUUAAAGAAUUGAAAAUAUCCGUUUGUCCUCGGCUCUUGAUAUUAUCAGAGGAAGGACUGCCAUCCAAGCUUCAAAAGCUGCAUAUUGAGGAGUGCCAACGGUUGACAUCAUUGCCGGGGAUGCAAACCCUUACUUCUCUUCAAGCAUUAAUUAUAAAAAAUUGUCCUCAACUCCGGUUCUUAUCGGAGGAGGGACUACCAACCAAUCUUCAAGAUCUGCAUAUUGAGAAGUGCCAAAGGUUGAUAUCACUGCGGGGGAUGCAAAACCUCACUUCUCUUGAGCUAUUGACCAUAAUAAAUUGUCCUCAACUCCGGCUUUUAUCAGAGGAAAGACUACCAACCAAUCUUCAAGAUCUGCAUAUUAAGGAGUGCCAACAGUUGAUAUCACUGCGGGGGAUGCAAAACCUCACUUCUCUUGAACUAUUAACCAUAAUAAAUUGUCCUCAACUCCUACUCUUAGCAGAGGAAGGACUACCAUCCAAACUUGAAUCACUGCAUAUUGAGGAGUGCCAACAGUUGACAUCACUGUCGGGAAUGCAAAACCUUACUUCUCUCAGAGAAUUAACCAUACAAAAUUGUCCUAAACUUUGUAUCCACGUAGAAGAUCAGCUCUCAUCUAUGCCUCACCAUGUGGAUAUUAUUGAUUGCCCUGGAUUGGUUAACUGGUGCGAAAUACAAAAAAUCAACUGCAUUCAGGUCGUUUCAGGCAACAAGCUGACUAUAUCGAACUCAUGGGAGAAGAUAAUGCAUGGGUUUCAUGAUUUGACAUCCACCGAGCAUAGAUUUGAUGAGUCAUCUACUAGCAGAGUUGCAUUGCUACAGCCUAGAUCACAUCUUUUUUUUAGCAAUUCUUGGGAAUCCUUUAUAAAAAGACCCCAAGCCAAACUUGAAGAGCUGACCAUAUGGAGUUGCAUGCACAUCCUGCCACUAGAGGGCCUGCCUGAGCUCACAUCUCUCCAAAGAUUGAUUAUAAAGGACUGUCCUGGAGUCCGACUCUUGAGAGAUGAGGUGCUCCCAUCGAUGCUCAAGUCCUUGGUACUUGAUAGUUGUGAGAACCUAAGGUGUUUGCAGUUGGUGCAGCAGAACCGUUAUGCACUUGAGGAGCUGCAGAUUGUGAAUUGCCCUGAAAUCGUAAUGGUGCAAGGGCUGGAUCGCCUUUUCUUCCCCAAAUUCUUAACAAUAGAGCGAUGCCCUCAACUCCUGCUUUCACAAGAUGAUUGGCGGCCAUUUAUUCACCCAUGUGCUGAAAUUGCAGGAGAAUUGGAGAUGAAAUUCAAUCCUCCACAUUCAGAGGAAACAGAGAACAAAGAAACAAUUGAUGAUGGAACCCAGGAGAAACAGGUGUUGAAUUGUGUGAUGAUUGAACGUCCUAACAGUGUUGUAUCUUCAAGAUUUGAUGCUGCAGAUGAUUGCAACAUGGGUCAAUUCCUACAGCUUGGGCUUCCUUCUGGUUGCAGGUCACAGUGCCCGGUACAAAACAAUGCAGAACCAUUGUGGGUGGACAACAAUGCUGUAUCUCCAAUGUUUGAUGAUGCAGCUGAUUGCAACAUGGGUCAAUUCCUACAGCUUGGGCUCCCUUCAGGUUGCAGCUCGCACUCCUUGGUAGAUAACAAUGUAGAACCAUUGAAAUGAUCUUGGCAUCAAUUCCUGAAUGAUCUUAACUGGUACAAACUGCAGAGGGAGUGGUUUCACAAAUAGGCAACAGUAAUACAAUGGGUUCAGACAGAAGCAUCUUUAGACAAGGAGCUUGUGGCAAUGAUGUAUUACGAGAUGGAAGACAAUGAUUGCAAUCAUCAAAAGAGCCCAUUAUAUGGUAAUCAUCCAUUCUCCCAUUCUGUGAUGGUUAAUCAUCUAACGACAUGGAUGGAGACUAUGGAAUCGAGCAGCUCCAACCGACCCUGUUUUACAUCCAUUACAGAUCCAGGUCCUUCAAGGCCAUGGCAGCUAUAGUUAGCUAAGCCUCCUAUGAUCUGCCCUCAGCAACGAGAUAUAGCCAUUGCUUUUCCAGAUUGUCAGCCAUUCGAGUCUACUGCAAGGCAGUCAGAUGUUACUGUGACAUAUAUUGACCAUGACAAUAGUGCUGUAUUUCCAAUAUUUGAUGAUGCAACUGAUGC